rnacentral:rRNA from 1 species
GACAGAGGGUGCAAACGUUGCUCGGAAUUACUGGGCGUAAAGCGCGUGUAGGCGGACUGGUGUGUCGGAUGUGAAAUCCCCAGGCUCAACCUGGGAACUGCAUUCGAAACUGCCAGCCUUGAGUGGUGGAGAGGGAAGUGGAAUUCCUGGUGUAGAGGUGAAAUUCGUAGAUAUCAGGAGGAACACCAGUGGCGAAGGCGGCUCACUGGCCCGGUACUGACGCUGAGGUGCGAAAGCGUGGGGAGCAAACAGG